rnacentral:rRNA from 1 species
GGUUAAGCGACUAAGCGUACACGGUGGAUGCCCUGGCAGUCAGAGGCGAUGAAGGACGUGCUAAUCUGCGAUAAGCGUCGGUAAGGUGAUAUGAACCGUUAUAACCGGCGAUUUCCGAAUGGGGAAACCCAGUGUGAUUCGUCACACUAUCAUUAACUGAAUCCAUAGGUUAAUGAGGCGAACCGGGGGAACUGAAACAUCUAAGUACCCCGAGGAAAAGAAAUCAACCGAGAUUCCCCCAGUAGCGGCGAGCGAACGGGGAGCAGCCCAGAGCCUGAAUCAGUGUGUGUGUUAGUGGAAGCGUCUGGAAAGGCGCGCGAUACAGGGUGACAGCCCCGUACACAAAAAUGCACAUGCUGUGAGCUCGAUGAGUAGGGCGGGACACGUGGUAUCCUGUCUGAAUAUGGGGGGACCAUCCUCCAAGGCUAAAUACUCCUGACUGACCGAUAGUGAACCAGUACCGUGAGGGAAAGGCGAAAAGAACCCCGGCGAGGGGAGUGAAAAAGAACCUGAAACCGUGUACGUACAAGCAGUGGGAGCACAGAGCAAUCUGUGUGACUGCGUACCUUUUGUAUAAUGGGUCAGCGACUUAUAUUCUGUAGCAAGGUUAACCGAAUAGGGGAGCCGAAGGGAAACCGAGUCUUAACUGGGCGUUAAGUUGCAGGGUAUAGACCCGAAACCCGGUGAUCUAGCCAUGGGCAGGUUGAAGGUUGGGUAACACUAACUGGAGGACCGAACCGACUAAUGUUGAAAAAUUAGCGGAUGACUUGUGGCUGGGGGUGAAAGGCCAAUCAAACCGGGAGAUAGCUGGUUCUCCCCGAAAGCUAUUUAGGUAGCGCCUCGUGAAUUCAUCUCCGGGGGUAGAGCACUGUUUCGGCAAGGGGGUCAUCCCGACUUACCAACCCGAUGCAAACUGCGAAUACCGGAGAAUGUUAUCACGGGAGACACACGGCGGGUGCUAACGUCCGUCGUGAAGAGGGAAACAACCCAGACCGCCAGCUAAGGUCCCAAAGUCAUGGUUAAGUGGGAAACGAUGUGGGAAGGCCCAGACAGCCAGGAUGUUGGCUUAGAAGCAGCCAUCAUUUAAAGAAAGCGUAAUAGCUCACUGGUCGAGUCGGCCUGCGCGGAAGAUGUAACGGGGCUAAACCAUGCACCGAAGCUGCGGCAGCGACGCUGAUGCGUUGUUGGGUAGGGGAGCGUUCUGUAAGCCUGCGAAGGUGUGCUGUGAGGCAUGCUGGAGGUAUCAGAAGUGCGAAUGCUGACAUAAGUAACGAUAAAGCGGGUGAAAAGCCCGCUCGCCGGAAGACCAAGGGUUCCUGUCCAACGUUAAUCGGGGCAGGGUGAGUCGACCCCUAAGGCGAGGCCGAAAGGCGUAGUCGAUGGGAAACAGGUUAAUAUUCCUGUACUUGGUGUUACUGCGAAGGGGGGACGGAGAAGGCUAUGUUGGCCGGGCGACGGUUGUCCCGGUUUAAGCGUGUAGGCUGGUUUUCCAGGCAAAUCCGGAAAAUCAAGGCUGAGGCGUGAUGACGAGGCACUACGGUGCUGAAGCAACAAAUGCCCUGCUUCCAGGAAAAGCCUCUAAGCAUCAGGUAACAUCAAAUCGUACCCCAAACCGACACAGGUGGUCAGGUAGAGAAUACCAAGGCGCUUGAGAGAACUCGGGUGAAGGAACUAGGCAAAAUGGUGCCGUAACUUCGGGAGAAGGCACGCUGAUAUGUAGGUGAAGUCCCUCGCGGAUGGAGCUGAAAUCAGUCGAAGAUACCAGCUGGCUGCAACUGUUUAUUAAAAACACAGCACUGUGCAAACACGAAAGUGGACGUAUACGGUGUGACGCCUGCCCGGUGCCGGAAGGUUAAUUGAUGGGGUUAGCGCAAGCGAAGCUCUUGAUCGAAGCCCCGGUAAACGGCGGCCGUAACUAUAACGGUCCUAAGGUAGCGAAAUUCCUUGUCGGGUAAGUUCCGACCUGCACGAAUGGCGUAAUGAUGGCCAGGCUGUCUCCACCCGAGACUCAGUGAAAUUGAACUCGCUGUGAAGAUGCAGUGUACCCGCGGCAAGACGGAAAGACCCCGUGAACCUUUACUAUAGCUUGACACUGAACAUUGAGCCUUGAUGUGUAGGAUAGGUGGGAGGCUUUGAAGUGUGGACGCCAGUCUGCAUGGAGCCGACCUUGAAAUACCACCCUUUAAUGUUUGAUGUUCUAACGUUGACCCGUAAUCCGGGUUGCGGACAGUGUCUGGUGGGUAGUUUGACUGGGGCGGUCUCCUCCUAAAGAGUAACGGAGGAGCACGAAGGUUGGCUAAUCCUGGUCGGACAUCAGGAGGUUAGUGCAAUGGCAUAAGCCAGCUUGACUGCGAGCGUGACGGCGCGAGCAGGUGCGAAAGCAGGUCAUAGUGAUCCGGUGGUUCUGAAUGGAAGGGCCAUCGCUCAACGGAUAAAAGGUACUCCGGGGAUAACAGGCUGAUACCGCCCAAGAGUUCAUAUCGACGGCGGUGUUUGGCACCUCGAUGUCGGCUCAUCACAUCCUGGGGCUGAAGUAGGUCCCAAGGGUAUGGCUGUUCGCCAUUUAAAGUGGUACGCGAGCUGGGUUUAGAACGUCGUGAGACAGUUCGGUCCCUAUCUGCCGUGGGCGCUGGAGAACUGAGGGGGGCUGCUCCUAGUACGAGAGGACCGGAGUGGACGCAUCACUGGUGUUCGGGUUGUCAUGCCAAUGGCACUGCCCGGUAGCUAAAUGCGGAAGAGAUAAGUGCUGAAAGCAUCUAAGCACGAAACUUGCCCCGAGAUGAGUUCUCCCUGACUCCUUGAGAGUCCUGAAGGAACGUUGAAGACGACGACGUUGAUAGGCCGGGUGUGUAAGCGCAGCGAUGCGUUGAGCUAACCGGUACUAAUGAACCGUGAGGCUUAACCUU